ensembl:lncRNA
AUGCCGGAGUGAUGGCUGAGGAGGGAGCUCAGCAGACAGAAGAGGACACAUUUUCCACGCAUAAAACCGCUUUGGCCACCAAGCCAGUCGUCAAGCUAGAAUGAACAAAGAACUGCCAUCUGCUCUGCCCCUUAUAUAAGAAAAACACCACCAGAAAGAUGUCUCCAUUGCUAGGAGGAAACCACCAGGAAACCGACAAAUCUAGUUUAAAGCCCAAAUCAAAUCAUUUGCUGGAGAGAAUCUCUUGUACUGAAUGGAAGCUUCACCCAUCAAUCAAAAGCUGAUUGGUCAAUGAGCUGAGGCAGGAAAUAGGAGGUUGGAGUUUCGACAGAGAGAGGAACUCUGGGAUAGAGUCACGUUGCAAGCAUUCAACCAGAACUCUGAGGAAGCCGGCCACGUGAAACUGAAGCUGUCUAUUCAUCUGUGAAAGAAGGGAAGAAAGUGACUACUCUUUAUCUGGGAGAAGAAAUGAAGUGCUGCUACUUACUCUUUGCGUCUAUUGUGCGAUCCUCUCUCGGAGAGAAAAGACUGGAAUGACAAGCUUUGGAAAAUGACACCUACUGCUUUUUCCUUAUUACCACGCAGACUAACUUUCUCAAAUGAGGAAAUGCUUGCUUGACAGCCUGUCAGAAUAAAUGAAAACUUUAAACCGUUUGUCUUCACGGUACUCUAAUGACCUGUAAUAUUGAUCAUUCAGGCUCUGUUCUCUGAGUUAAGUGGAUAAGAAAAUUCAGGAAGAUUAAG